AAUUAUGGUGGGCUGGACGGGGGCACCGAAAGGUGCGCCGGUUUCCGAUAACGCCGGUUACGCCAACCCCGUUCAGUUCACCACCAGC
ncrna:unclassified sequences C4 antisense RNA